GGAGGAUAUUUUAUCAUUAUGAAAUCGCAUGGCACAUGACGGUGUAACAACUUCAAGAAUUAGAGACACAUUAAAACGUGUUUUAAAUCUGCUUCCAAACACAAUCAUGGAGUACAAAACAAACGUUGACAGGAUAACUCAAGUUUUUGAAACACAGAUGUCUUCAUGAGAUAGCGGAAAUCGGAUGGUUGUCAUGAAGAAUGGCUUUCAUUGACAAAUGGAACUGAACAUGAAGUAUUGUGUGAUGAAAACAAUGUGUAUUUACUACAAUGUAGUAAAUCAAAGGAGGUCCAAAGUGGCUCGAUACUGAAGAACAGUUGUAACAGGAAAGAAUGUGCAUUAUCACCUGCCAAAAAAAGGAAGAAACAGGGGGAUACUGACUGAUGUAUGGACUUUAACACCAGGUUUUUACCCUUCAAGAGUUGGCCAACUAGAGUGGAGCAGGAGAAUGGGCUGUGCUUGACCAAUAAAAGCUGGAUUUGUUGAGAGGUAAAACUAUACAGGUUAUUGCAUUUAAAAGGCAUCACACUUCCAGCCAGUCCAGACAGUCAAAUGAGACCACGCUUCUUGAUCAAUACGCAUUCCAGAUCCUCAAAAAGAGAAGGACACAAGCAACAUCAGUGGUAGAUGUCACUCAAGCCGCUGCUUUCCCAGUCUCUCCUGCUGCUUUCCAGGUCCCUCCACCCGCCAAGAUCAGGUCUAGGCACUGGCUGCCAUCCAGGUCCCCCUAGCGGUUGUGGUUGUGUUCCCUAAUUGCUGUUGUACUGGACUACUGGUCCCACCACCAUAUGCAGUCAAUGUCUCUCCAACUGCUGAAGUCCAGGUUCCUCCGGACACUGCGGUUCAGGUACCUCCAACAGCUGUGAUCGAGUUCUCUGCAGCAGCUGCGAUCUAAAUAUAUUGACCCACUGUGGAACACUGCGGUUUAUCGUUUUUUCCAUGCAAUCUUCCACAUAUGUCUCAUUUUAUAAUGAAGUGUACAAUUCUUAUGUUCAUAUUUUUUUGUGUUGUACUUUUUUGACUUACAAAGAUGAUUUUCCUGCACAUUGUGUUUUUUUUUCCCUUUAAACUGCAUGGGGCUAAUACUUUUUUUACUGAAACAUAUAAGCACAAUAUCGUAUAAGACUUUAACAUACUUUGGUACAAAAAAGCGCUUAAACCCACAAAAAACCACCUUGCCAAAAACCCACAAAAACUAACAGAGCAGGUUAUUGUUUGCGAAAACCUAGCGAGUGUGUGUUUCAUUGUCCAUAGUGCUUAUAAAUUUUAUAAUUAGAAUGAAUUAUCUUAAAUGUAAUUUUGUGUAAAUAUAAACUCGAGAAACUUACAUUAUUUUUGCGACACAUUACAAGUUUAUUUAAAUUUGUGUCACUCCUAAGAUUUUCUACGGCCUCCGAAUGUCUCUCAUACCCUCUGAAAGUGUUUGUUUUAAGAAAUUAUUUAUCACGUUAAUUUUAAUAAAUAUAUUUAUUUCAGAUUAUAAAAUACUGUUCUAGCUGUUGAUAUGUCCCCUUUAUAGUUAAAACUGAGAUAACUU